rnacentral:rRNA from 1 species
CCCUUAGACGUUCUGGGCCGCACGCGCGCUACACUGACCAGUGCAACAAGCAUCCGUCCUUGGCCGACAGGCUCGGGCAAUCUUUGAACGCUGGUCGUGAUGGGGAUAGACUUUUGCAAUUUUUGGUCUUCAACGAGGAAUUCCUAGUAAACGCAAGUCAUCAACUUGCAUUGAUUACGUCCCUGCCCUUUGUACACACCGCCCGUCGCACCUACCGAUUGAAUGGUCCGGUGAAGCCUCCGGAUUGGCGCGCACCUCGGUGCCGCCGAGAAGUUGGCUAAACCUGACCAUUUAGAGGAAGGUGAANUCGUANCA